rfam:Lupinus angustifolius cultivar Tanjil chromosome LG02, whole genome shotgun sequence.
GAACCUCAGGUCAGGCGGGGCUACCCGCUGAGUUUAAAGAUAUCAAUAAGCGGAGGAAAGGAAACUAACAAGGAUUCCCUUAGUAACAGCGAGCGAACUGGGAAAAGCCCACCAUGAGAAUCAGUCACCCUCGAUGUCAGAAUUGUAGUCUGGAGCAGCAUCCUCAGUGGUGGACCAGGCCCAAGUCCCCUAGAAGGGGGUUCUGGAGAGGGUGAGAAUCCUGUCGUGCCCAGAACCUGUCGCACCAUGAGGCGUUGUCGGCGAGUCGGGUUGUUCGGGAAUGCAACCCCAAUCGGGUAGUAAAUUUCGUCAAAGGCUAAAUAAUGGUGAGAGACCGAUAGCGAACAAGUACCGCGAGGGAAAGAUGAGAAGGACUUUGAAAAGAGAGACAAAGAGUGCUUGAAAUUGUCGGGAGGGAAGCGGAUGGGUGUUGGUGAUGUGCCUCCGUGGAUGUGGAACAGCGAGAGCUGGUCUGCCAAUCGACUUAGGGCAUAGACCGACAUGAAUUGUGAUGGUGGCCCAAGCCCAGGCUAUUGACAUGCUCAUGGAUACGUCAUCAUAACGAUUGUUAUUGGAAGCACACGUUUUUUGGUGUGCUUCAGCACCUCCGUGCUCUAGGCGUUGGCCUAUGGGCUCCCCAUUCAGCCCGUCUUGAAACACAAAACAAGUUAUCUGACAUGUGUGCGAGUCAGCGGGCAAGUAAACUCGUAAGGCGCAAGGAAGCUGAUUGGUGGGAUCCGUUAUGGGUUGCACCGCCGACCAACCCUAAUCUUUUGUGAAGGGUUCGAGUGAGAGCAUACAUGUUUGGACCCGAAAGAUGGUGAACUAUGCCUAAGCAUGGCGAAGCCAGAGGAAACUCUAGUGGAGGCCCGUAGCGAUACUGAUGUGCAAAUCGUUCGUCUGACUUGGGUAUAGAGGUGAAAGACUAAUCGAACCGUCUAGUAGCUGGUUCCCUCAAAAGUUUCCCUCGGGAUAGUUGAAGCUCACAAGCGACUUCUAUUGGGUAAAGCCGAUGACUAGAGGCGUUAGGGGCGCAACACCCUCAACCUAUUCUCAAAAUUUAAAUAGAUAGGACGACGUGGCUACUUUGUUGAGCCACGCCACGAAAUUGAGAGCUCCAAGUGGGCAAUUUUUGGUAAGAAGAACUGGCGUAGCAGGAUGAACCAGAAGUUGGGUUACGGUGCCCAACUACGCGCUAACCAAGACCCCACAAAGGGUGUUGGUCGAUUAAGAUAGUAGGACGGUGGUCAUGGAAGUCGAAAUCUACUAAGGAAUGUGUAACAACUCACCGGCCGAAUCAACUAGCCCGGAAAAAUGGAUGGCGCUAAAGCACGCGACGUACCCCCGAUCGUCGGGGCAAGGGCAGGCGUCUAUGAGUAGGAGGGUGUGGCGGUUUCUACAAAACCUGGGGCGUGAGCUCGGGUGGAGCGGUCGUUGAUGCAGAUCUUGGUUGUAAUAGCAAAUAUUCAAAUGAGAACUUUGAAGGCCAAAGAGGGGAAAGGUUCCAUGUGAAUGCCACUUGCACAUGGGUUAGUCAAUCCUAAGGGACGGGGGAAGCUCAUUUGAUAGGGCUCUAAGCGUGCAAACGGAAAGGGAAUCGGGUUAAAAUUCCUGAAUCGGAACAUGGCAGCUGACAGCAACAUUAGGGAGUCCAGAGACGUCGGCGGAGCCCCCGAAAAGAAUUAUCUUUUCUAUUUAACAACCUGCCUACCCUAGAAACGGCUCAGUCGGAGGUAGGAUCCACCGGCUGGAAGAGAACCACACGUUGCAUGGUGUCCGGUGCGCCCCCGACAGCCCUUGAAAAUCUGGAGGACCAAGUGCCUCUGACACCCGAUCGUACUCAUAAUCGCAUCACUUCUCCAAGGUAAACAACCUCUAGUCAAUGGAACAAUGUAGGCAAGGGAAAUCGGAAAACUGGAUAUGUAACCUCGGGAAAAGGAUUGGCUCAGAGGGCUGGGCACCGGGUUCCUAGUCCUGAACUCGUCGACUGUCGAUUAACUGCUCGAGCUGCUCUUGCAGCGAGAGAGGGUCGUCGUGUGCCAGUUUGGGGACGGAUUGGGAACGAGCCCUUCAGGGCCUCUUCCCUAGGCGUCAUAUAGUCGACUCAGAACUGGUACAGACAAGGGGAAUCCGACUGUUUAAUUAAAACAAAGCAUUGCGUUGGUCCCGACAGGUGUUGAUGCAAUGUGAUUUCUACCCAUUGCUCUUAAUGUCAAAGUGAAGAAAUUCAACCAAGCGCGAGUAAACGGUGGGAGUAACUAUGACUUUCUUAAGGUAGCCAAAUGUCUCGUCAUCUAAUUUGUGGUGCACAUGAAUGGAUUAAUGAGAUUCCCACUGUCCUUGUCUACUAUCAAACUUUGGAUUAUGACUGAACGCCUCUAAGUCAAAAUCCAAGCUACAAGUGAUGAAUGUCCCAUCGCCCGUUUGCCGACCAGCAGUAGGGGGCCUUGGCCCCCCACAGGCACGUGCCGUUCGUGAGCCCCGUUGGGUGGACGAGCCUCAUGGGACGCCUUGAAGCAUUAUUUCCCAUUGGGAGGUGGGUAGAAUCCUUUGCAGACGACUUAAAUAUGUGACAGGGUAUUGUAAGUGGCAAAGUGGCCUUGCUGCCAUGAUCCACUGAGAAUCAGCCUUUGUCGCUUCGAUUCAU